rnacentral:lncRNA from 1 species
CGGAAACGGGCGGGGCCUGGGCACUGAGCGCCUCUUCCCGCCCAUUCCGACCCGAGGGAUCGCGACCCCUGGCGCCAGUCUUAACUCAAUUUGGAGGGGCUCAGUCCUUCCAAGUUCCAGAUCUCAUCAAUCCUGAGCCUAAGCCUCUCAGCUUCAUCUGAGAACGAAGAUUUGGGCGACCGCUUCUGACUCCUUCCUGCCCAAUCCGCGACGGAAACCAGACGGAUAGCUUUCCAUUCUCUCCUAUCUUCUGUGGAAUUCUAGUCUUCGCUCUCUAAGCAUUACUCCUAGCUCCUCCGGAUCCUGAAUUCAAAUGUCCUGGCUUCAUUUAUCAGUCUACCCUUCUUCCCAGGGAAUUGGACAUCCAAGAGAUUCGUUUAUUCAGUAAACCUUUAUUGUGUGUGAAGCUCAAGCAGAAAUAAAUUUGACCAAGAUCCUGAUCUUGACCUCAAAGAGUCCAAAAUCUGGUGAAGGAAACAUGCUCAGAUUAACAAGAAGCAAAAUGUUGGAGGAGGGCUGGGAGCGUAGCUCAGUGAUAGAGCGCUUACCAAGCAUGCCUAAGAUCCUGUGUUCAUUUCCAGUACCAAAAAGAAGAAGAAACGCUGGCUGUGGUGGCACACGUCUGGAAUCUAGCAUUUAGGGAGGCUGAGGCAGAAGAAUUGUGAAUUCAAAGCCAGCCUCAGCAACUUUGCUGAGGCCUUAAGCAAUUUAGCAAGACCCUGUCUCAAAAUAAAAAUAU